rnacentral:rRNA from 1 species
GGGGAAUUUUGGACAAUGGGCGCAAGCCUGAUCCAGCCAUGCCGCGUGAGUGAAGAAGGCCUUCGGGUUGUAAAGCUCUUUCGGCCGGGAAGAAAUCGCAUGGGUUAAUACCCUGUGUGGAUGACGGUACCGGAAUAAGAAGCACCGGCUAACUACGUGCCAGCAGCCGCGGUAAUACGUAGGGUGCGAGCGUUAAUCGGAAUUACUGGGCGUAAAGCGUGCGCAGGCGGUUUUGUAAGACAGGCGUGAAAUCCCCGGGCUUAACCUGGGAACUGCGCUUGUGACUGCAAGGCUAGAGUACGGCAGAGGGGGGUGGAAUUCCACGUGUAGCAGUGAAAUGCGUAGAGAUGUGGAGGAACACCAAUGGCGAAGGCAGCCCCCUGGGUCGAUACUGACGCUCAUGCACGAAAGCGUGGGUAGCAAAC